rnacentral:lncRNA from 1 species
GAAAAAAUAUAUAUAUACUUUUGAAGUUCUAAGAAGUAUAAGGCUUCGUUUGGAAUUGUGAAAAAAUUACGUUAUAUGUGGUGAAAAAAUACGAUAAGAAAAUACUUUGUUUGUUUUCAUACAUAAUAUUGUGCAUAUCGCGAUGAAUCGAUUAGCGGUUUUACAGGAUAAAGCAGAAGUACAUCACUAUAUAUUUUUACCUAAAUUCUAUUUUAUUUAAUAGCGUCAGACAAGUCUCAAUACCAAACUGUGCCUAAAAAAAGUAUACUAGGUACCUAAAGAAGUAAU